GCAGUCCAAAUAUAAAUUUGCAAUUACGAAAAUUUAAAAAACCAAACAUGUGCGCUGGAAAAGAUGAAGAAACACAUGCGCCGAAUGAUUAAGCGAGCGCGAAAAGCCAAAUAUAGUGCUUGUUAUUACUUGAAGUGUGUGAGAAGAGAGAUGGAACACUGCCUUAGGAGUAAGAAUGUGAAGAAGACUGCUAAUUUUGGCAAUACGAAUUAAAAAGAAGUUUUGAGCAUUUUAUAGCAAAACAAUAUUUAAUAAGCACAGAAUACAACUGUAAGACACGUUUAUCACCGCGGGGGAGAGGUUCAAGAAUUUUUCCACGUAAGAAGCAACUAAAAUCUAAAAGUUCCCGCAACAGUCGGGUCUUUCAACGAAACCAACUGGAUUUUUAUCCGUCCAAGUAGUGUCACUCCCUCGACGAUUCACAAAAUAAAAGUAAUAAAAAGAAAAAAUACACAACAAUUAAGGAAGGCGUGCAACUAACUAAGUAACCGUGGAGCGUGUAAGGAGGAUAUGUAAUGUAACACAGAUCAUCCAAAUAUGUUAAAACUGGCUGAGUAAUAAAAAGCUUUUUGGCGUCACCGAAUAAAUGAAAUAAAAAGAAAAAUUACACAUAUUUCUAACAAAGCUCGCAGCAGCCGUAAAUACCAAUUCAAACUUUUGGAUUGUUUUUAUUGAUAGCGAGAAAGAAAUGCAUAAAUUUUCAAAAAUAAACACCCGCUGUUUAUCAACCAACAGCCAGGUGUUGCAUAAAAUAAAUUAUUGCUCUAUUGCACUCAAAGACCUAAGAUAAGGACUUCGGAAAAGGAAAAAAUACUCUCGAAAUAAGCAAAACAUGCAAAAUCGAGCAAACGUACAUAUACAUACAUAUAUAUUUUCAUAAACGACGCUGUCGGUGGUGACAUGUUGAAUGCGGCAAAAGAAAUAAAUUUUCUAUGUUAUGCCAGAUAUGCCAAACUGAAAUGAUACAUACAUUCAAUAUCAGUUGGUAGCACGUAAACGCUGGAAAAGUAGUUGUUAAAAAUGCAAUUUUUUCUGCAAACGCCGAUAGAAGGAAAAGACUUUUUCAAACAGAGCAACAUUUAAAAGCUUGACCUCACCACCAUCACACCCCAAUUGUGGUGUACCAUUGUGUAACAUGGCAGGCUGACAAACAAAUAGCCAGACGGACGGCACCGAUAUUGUUGUGCACGAAGGUACAAUCAUAUUGUUGUCAGACGCGCGUGUGGGCGUAUUAUUGACCAUUAUGCAAACACUGCAACACAUAGUGUGGUUGGUUGGGGAAAAGUGCAAGCUAAACUUUUAAAUAUAUGCUAACUAUAUGUAUGAAUUUUUAUGUGUAACAAUUGUAGGUGGCAUUGCCACCACCAAUGAAAUGCUGCACGAACAGCAAAUAAUGUAAUACAUAUAUCGUGUACGUUAUGGCAUGUAUGGCCGAAAAGCUGCCGCCAUCAUGCAUAAAGGCGAUAAGAUAUUGCAAAUAUAGACAAAUAUUUUGUAAAAAUUUAUUUAUUUUAAGGAUAAAGACAACAUCAGCAAAUAUGUAGAUAUGUACAUAGGUAUGUUGUGGAAAAAGAAUAACGGCAAUUGAAUUGGCUUGCUAAAUAUGUGUCGCAAUAGCAACGAAAUAAAUUCAAAAUUAACGGCGCGCGUGGGCUUAUAAGUUGACUAACUUACAUACAUAU